GACGAACGCUGGCGGCGUGCCUAACACAUGCAAGUCGAGCGAUGAAAUUCCUUCGGGGAUGGAUUAGCGGCGGACGGGUGAGUAACACGUGGGUAACCUGCCUCAAAGAGGGGGAUAGCCUCCCGAAAGGGAGAUUAAUACCGCAUAACAUUAGUUUUUCGCAUGAAGAACUAAUUAAAGGAGUAAUCCGCUUUGAGAUGGAUCCGCGGCGCAUUAGCUAGUUGGUGAGGUAACGGCUCACCAAGGCGACGAUGCGUAGCCGACCUGAGAGGGUGAACGGCCACAUUGGAACUGAGACACGGUCCAGACGCCUACGGGAGGCAGCAGUGGGGAAUAUUGCACAAUGGGCGAAAGCCUGAUGCAGCAACGCCGCGUGAGUGAUGAAGGCCUUCGGGUUGUAAAGCUCUGUCUUUUGGGACGAUAAUGACGGUAGCAAAGGAGGAAGCAACGGCUAACUACGUGCCAGCAGCCGCGGUAA
rnacentral:rRNA from 1 species